GAUGAACGCUGGCGGUAUGCUUAACACAUGCAAGUCGAACGGACUCUUCGGAGUUAGUGGCGGACGGGUGGGUAACGCGGGAGAAUCUGGCUUUGGGUUCGGGACAACCACUGGAAACGGUGGCUAAUACCGGAUGUGCCGAGAGGUAAAAGAGAAAUUGCCUGAAGAUGAGCUCGCGUCUGAUUAGCUAGUUGGUGAGGUAAAGGCUCACCAAGGCAGCGAUCAGUAGCUGGUCUGAGAGGAUGACCAGCCACACUGGGACUGAGACGCGGCCCAGACUCCUACGGGAGGAAGCAGUGGGGAAUUUUCCGCAAUGGGCGAGAGCGUGACGGAGCAAUACCGCGUGAGGGAAGAAGGCUCUUGGGUUGUAAACCUCUUUUCUUAGGGAAGAACAAAAUGACGGUACCUAAGGAAUCAGCAUCGGCUAACUCCGUG
rnacentral:rRNA from 1 species